GGGGAGGCCGCGGCGGGGAAGAUGGCGGACGGGAAGGCGGGAGAGGAGAAGCCCGAAAAGCCGCAGCGAGCCGGAGCCGCCGGAGUUAAUUCAUGGGAGCCUCUUGUACUGCCACACAAUCUCAGUUCCUGCUGUACACUCUAACAAGCAGUGAAGAGACUGUUGGGUCAGUAGGUGACAGCUGCAGAGGUGUCUUCCUUGUAAAGAUGCUUUUUGAGGUUGCUGCUCCCAUCAAUCUGCUCAGUAAAAAUAGCUCAUCUUGUAAUGGAGGGGAAAGUUCCAGUCGCAGCGCUGAAAAGCGAUCAGCUGAAGACGAAGUUGCAGACCUCCCAACAAAGCCUACAAAGAUGUCCAAGUUUGGAUUUGCCAUAGGUAGUCAGACGGCAAGGAAAGCAUCCGCCAUCUCCAUUAGACUCGGAGCAAGUAAGCCUAAGGAAACAGUUCCAACUCUUGCUCCAAAAACACUUUCAGUAGCAGCAGCUUUCAAUGAAGAUGAAGAUAGUGAGCCAGAAGAAAUGCCUCCAGAAGCAAAGAUGCGGAUGAAGAACAUUGGCAGGUGCUGUGUUUUCCUAACUAGCAUAGAGCCGUGGGAAAGCGGGGAGAGGACAUCACACGGUUACACGGAGCCAGACAGACUCCACGAUCCAAAUCAGUGCAGUCCCAGAGGCGCAGCCUCUCAUCAUUGGAGCGUAAAUAAAUAUAGCUGACAUUAUUACCAGUCCAAACAAAGUACACACGCACACAUUUUUUUUAUUAUGUUUACUUUUGGGACAGAGUCUUUACUAUGCAGCCCUCGCUGUCCUAGAGCUCACGAUAUAGACUAGGCUGCAUUUGAACUCCUGCCUCUGCCUCCAGAGCUCCGGGAUUAAAAGUGUGCACCAUCUGCAUACACAUCUGAAACAGGAGUUUACAUAAAACUUUGACACUGCAUCUUUCUCUUUUACAAUGUUUGGAUUUUUGUUUCAUCUUUACAAAUGCUCGUGAUAAGCCACCAAAUUAGUUUUUAACCUUAUUUGUGGGUUUAGGUCACUUCUUUUGCAACAGAUUUUCUGUUUGUUGUGGUGUUGGGAAUUGGGAACUGACCACGGUCUGGUACUGUUGAUAAGAAUUCCACAGCUGAGACUGGUCCGCCAGCUCUCAGCAGUGGUGUUAGAGCCCUAGCGGUAGUGUCGCUCUCCUGUAUGUUGUCUUCCCUUAAAUGUGUGUUGAGAACUGCACACUGAGGAUGGAGUGGGUGGGGCUCAGCUGGGGCUCUCCGCUCUCCUCAGUCCUGCAAAAGAACUCCAUUGUGGGCCUGGGCUGCAGGCCUCUGUCCUAACUCCUAUUCACAUGGCAAGAGGCCGGAGGAGCUCUGCAUUCCCAGCCAGCCUGGACUAAGGAGACACCAUCUUGAAAAGUCAGGAUAAUGCAAAACCCCAGGCUCUCCUUUCUGCUCUUACCCUCACUGCAUACACACUGAAAUGAGGUCUCACCCUUCAUAGGAGGUCUCUGCACUGCAUACACACUGAAAUGAGGUCUUACCCUUCAUAGGAGGUCUCUGCACUGCAUACACACUGAAAUGAGGUCUCACCCUUCAUAGGAGGUCUCUGCACUGCAUACACACUGAAAUGAGGUCUCACCCUUCAUAGGAGGUCUCUGCACUGCAUACACACUGAAAUGAGGUCUCACCCUUCAUAGGAGGUCUCUGCACUGCAUACACACUGAAAUGAGGUCUCACCCUUCAUAGGAGGUCUCUGCACUGCAUACACACUGAAAUGAGGUCUCACCCUUCAUAGGAGGUCUCUGCACUGCAUACACACUGAAAUGAGGUCUCACCCUUCAUAGGAGGUCUCUGCACUGCAUACACACUGAAAUGAGGUCUCACCCUUCAUAGGAGGUCUCUGCACUGCAUACACACUGAAAUGAGGUCUCACCCUUCAUAGGAGGUCUCUGCACUGCAUACACACUGAAAUGAGGUCUCACCCUUCAUAGGAGGUCUCUGCACUCUGCAUACACACUGAAGUGAGGUCUCACCCUUCAUAGGAGGUCUCUGCACUGCAUACACACUGAAGUGAGGUCUCACCCUUCAUAGGAGGUCUCUGCACUGCAUACACACUGAAAUGAGGUCUCACCCUUCAUAGGAGGUCUCUGCACUGCAUACACACUGAAGUGAGGUCUCACCCUUCAUAGGAGGUCUCUGCACUGCAUACACACUGAAAUGAGGUCUCACCCUUCAUAGGAGGUCUCUGCACUGCAUACACACUGAAAUGAGGUCUCACCCUUCAUAGGAGGUCUCUGCACAGGCUUCUGCUAUUUGGCCUGUAUUUAUAAUGAGUGCUAAGUAGAUAUAUAUUAGUACGUUUAAGAUAGACCACAAUGAUUUGAAUAAAUUGAAUUUCUUUUAACACAGGGACACACCAACUUCGGCCGGACCAAACUCCUUUAAUAAAGGAAAGCAUGGCUUUUCCGAUAACCAGAAGCUGUGGGAGCGAAAUAUAAAAUCUCAUCUCGGAAAUGUCCACGACCAAGACAAUUAAGUGAAGUGUUCUGAGACCGGGCUGUGGGCGGGUGCAGUUAGAAGGAGCAGUCUCCUUUUGUAAAGAAUGGUGUAAGACUAGCUUUGGAGCCGUUUUCCUUUUUUUUUUCUUUUCCUCCUUUCUUUUUUUUAAGAUUGAGUGGUACACUAAUAAAUGAGAGUUUGCAAUUAGAGGUAAUUUAUGUUUUAUAUACAGAUUUCAAGACAUUUGCUAAUUUUGUAGUUUCACAUGAUUAGUUUCCAAGGGUUAAAGAAAUCAGAAGUGGUACCUUUCUAAGAAUUGCAUAUUUUUUUAGACACAACUAUUAGCACAUUAAGAGGGAAGCCAAAAAGUUAUUGUCUGCUUCAACCUGAAAGAAAGCAGUUCCUCUCCUGACUUCUCCCCUCGUGAUCUGACUGUCUGGCUCCCUGGAACAGCCUUACAGAGAGGGAGUACUGGACUGAGAAGACAAUGUUACUGGACUAUUGACUGAGAGCAAAUUUAGAUAAGGUUAAAAUAAACAUUUCCUACGGGCAUUUCAUUUUGUGUUGGGCCAUUAUAUGCUAGUACUGCUUUGCUAUCAGUGGGUACAGAUGCUUUGCUAUAAAAAUUUUUUUUUGUUAAAAAUUCUCAUAUGAAGUAUUGAGUAUUAUAACUAGCCCACUUUGAUGGAGUUUGUCUCCGUUCAGGAUCUUCAGAGGACACUAUUGCUACCAAAGUAAAUCAGUAUUUUGAAUGUGCUUCUCUUGGUUUCUAUUCUAGUUCCUAUAAGCAUUUCCACCAGAACUUGAGGCAAAACAUAAGGAAGCUGUUUCUUUUAAAGUACAAACACCACCAAAAAUAUCAGUGUACAUACUGCUUUAUGUAUUUGGCUGGCUUUUAUUUUUUAAAAGGUUUAAAUACCAAAAAAGGAAAAAGGGUAUGACAUUGUGUGAAGACAGAAGAGGCAGCACACCUUCUGUGACUUUUGACACAUUUAAAUUACUAACUUAGAAGAUUUCUUAUUUGUACAACUCCACAGCUUGUUUUAUAUCUGCACACUGACCUGUGGUUUCAGAAGCGCACUUAGUGACUGCGAUAAGGCGGAAGUGCUGCUUCAGACACCCUCACUGCGGGCCUCUCAUCGCUCUUGCUCUUAGCAUUCUGUGUGUAGGAUGUUUGUUUUGUAUUUUUGUAUUGUAUAUGGGCUUUUUAAAUGUGACAGUUAACUGCAUCUUUAAUAGUCACAGACAAAAGAAGUGAUAAGAUGUCCUUGAAAAUUACAAUGUUAGAUUGGAAGGCCACUUGGUGAGUUUCAUGUGGUGAUUAUUCACUGGGCGGUUUUUAAUGUAGUGACUUCCUCGCAGCAGCCUGCGGCCAUCCCUGACACUUUGUUCAUACAUUUUAGUUUACUUCAUAAGCCCCAAGUAAACCGAUGGAAAUGUACAUAGCACUAUUAGUUCAUACAUGAUUUAAGUAUAUCAAGAUACAUAAAUUUAACUUUUAUGUCUGCAAACUGUCCAUUUGUCCAUUUUACUGUUUGUUGAAAUAACACCUCUCCUACAUAUUCUUUACUUGACUCGAAUAACAAAUUAACCUGAGGUCAAGAUGGAGAGACACGACUGAGCUGAAUGUCUUUACUAAAAUUACAAUAAAUUUUGUCAAACUUG